CCGCGCCCGGGCUUUUGCCCGGGACUUCGCUGCCCACCGCAAGAAGUCGGGGUGAGCGGCAGAGCAGGGCGUAUGGGGCGAGCAGUGGUGGCUAAGGCCGGGGAGCUCUGCUCAGAGGCUCCCUUCGUGUCUGCAGGGCUCUGCCAGUGGCCUGGCUUGAACGGACGAUGCGGUCAGUAGGGCUGGAGGUCUACACGCAGAGUUUCUCCCGGAAACUGCCCUUCCCAGAUGAGACCCACGAGCGCUAUGUAUUGGGGGAGUGGGGUGUGCCUGGGCCCAGAAAGCACCUUGAGGGAGGGGUAUGGGCUGGGUAUCACCUUGCGGGGGUGUCAUGGGGCCAGGAAGCUCGGUGGGAGGGAAAUCCCUGGUGGGCAUUGGAGGGCUAGGAAACGGGGGGGGCCUUCAGCCCCCUACCAGAAAGUUACACUGAGGUUCCCCCCACCGAUACUGCAUACAGAUGGUGUCAGGCACCAAUGUGUACGGCAUCCUGCGGGCCCCGCGUGCUGCCAGCACCGAGUCACUUGUGCUCACCGUGCCCUGUGGCUCUGACUCUACCAACAGCCAGGCUGUGGGGCUGCUGCUGGCACUGGCUGCCCACUUCCGGGGUGAGUCUCAGGGCUGCUGGCCAUGGAGGGCUUUGGUCAGUGCCCCAGACCCUGCUGAUCCUGCUUCUCGUCUCCAGGGCAGAUUUAUUGGGCCAAAGAUAUCAUCUUCCUGGUAACAGAACAUGACCUCCUGGGCACUGAAGCUUGGCUUGAAGCCUACCACGAUGUCAAUGUCACUGGCAUGCAGUCGUCCCCCCUGCAGGGCCGAGCUGGGGCCAUUCAGGCGGCUGUGGCCCUGGAGCUGAGCAGUGAUGUGGUCACCAGCCUCGAUGUGGCUGUGGAGGGGCUCAACGGGCAGCUGCCCAACCUUGACCUGCUCAAUCUCUUCCAGACCUUCUGCCAGAAAGGGGGCCUGUUGUGCACGCUUCAGG
rnacentral:sRNA from 1 species